rnacentral:lncRNA from 1 species
CCCUGGAAUGAAUUUUGAACGAAAAUUGUCCACAUCUACUGCAACCUAAUCCUCCUGUUUGCCCUGCAAUCCGAUAUUGCCAUGUGCAGCUAAAGAGAACUGCAAUUGAGCCUCAAGGCCUGGGCGUGGUUCUUGUCGUUUAAUCUCUUCUUUUCUUUUCUCUUCCCUUUGCUGCUUCCUCCCUCCCCCACCCUCUCUCUCCGAGGCCCAGUGAGGUCAGCUCGGGAAUAUUGCUGCAUUUCUCUGAGAUACUCUGGCACAGCUUGGUACCUCGUGUGUGUAUGCAUUUUACCAGCCCAGCAGCAGACAAAGUGGUGAAGCCUGCCGGUGCUGGAAUUUGGGACACGAAGGAUUCAAGUUAUAUUCCUGGCAGAUCUUUGCUGAGCCUGAUGACUUUGCUGCAGUGAAACUUCAGGAAGAAAUCCAGCUCUUUCCCCAGCUCCCAGGGAGGCGGCGGAGGAGGAUGCCCCGGCUGCCUGCCGCCAGCGAGGCUCCCCGGCGCUAGCAAGCCGCGAUGAACCAGCCGCCUGCCGGGGGCGCUGCAGCUGCUUCCGAACCUCGCCAGCAUCCGGAGGGGAGCAGCAGCAGAAAGCAGCAGCAGCGAGCGUCCUCUCCGGCAGGCCCCAGGGACAGCCGCCCCGCC